rnacentral:rRNA from 1 species
AUGAACCCUGCCUCGGCCCCUGGCUCGGAUGGCCUUCCAGUCAAGUUCUUCCAAAGCUUCUGGAAUGUGAUCAAGCCAGAGGUCAGGGCCAUCUUCGAUGAGUUCUACGUUGGGUCCAUCGAUCUUGGGCGCCUUAACUACGGGACGAUCUCGCUCAUCCCCAAGGUUCCUGGUGCUUCUGACAUCCGUAAGUUCCGCCCAAUCAUGGUGAUUAACGUGAUCUUCCGGAUUCUGGCGAAAGGGUACGCCAAUAGGGUGACCCUGCUUGCGGACCAGAUUACUCACCCCAACCAAUCGACUUUCAUCCAAGGCCGUUAUAUUCUGGAUGGGGUGCUGGUCCUUCACGAAGUCCUCCAUGGGGUCCGCUCCAAACACCUCAAGGCGGUCUUCCUGAAGAUCGAUUUCCAUAAGGCCUAUGACACUGUUAGCUGGCCCUUCCUUCGGGAAGUUCUC